rnacentral:rRNA from 1 species
UACGUAGGGGGCAAGCGUUGUCCGGAAUCAUUGGGCGUAAAGAGCGUGUGGGCGGUCCGGUAAGUCGGCUGUGAAAGUCCAGGGCUCAACCCUGGGAUGCCGGUCGAUACUGCCGGACUAGAGUUCGGAAGAGGCGAGUGGAAUUCCCGGUGUAGCGGUGAAAUGCGCAGAUAUCGGGAGGAACACCUAUGGCGAAGGCAGCUCGCUGGGACGUUACUGACGCUGAGACGCGAAAGCGUGGGGAGCAAACAGG